rnacentral:piRNA from 1 species
UGGCAAGCACACGAAAAGUCUUGGUUGAAU